CACACACACUCACACACACACUCACACACACACUCACACACUCACGCAGUCGCUGUUGCGCACACGCGCAAGCCGGCACACCGGUAGAGACGUCAGGAUUGGACGCAGCAGGGGAUCCCCAGCAUUCCGUUUCUGCCUCGCUUGGCGUAUCAUCAUCUUUUACCGGGAGGAGAUGAGCUGGCUCACUCUCGCAGAGGGCAGCAGUAACAGAGGACGCUCUCGGAUCUCCGUUUCACCGGAGCGCGCUCUCUCGCUCCUUCUCCCUCCCUCUCUCUCUCUCUCUCUCCAUCUUCACGUCUCGGGCUGCAGAGACUGUUUCCCCCCCGCGUGUGCCGGGCGGCCGGGACAGCGCGAGAAGAAAGCGCAGAGCAAAGGGGAAAAGGUGUUUCACCUGCUGAGCGGUUUAUUUCCGGAUAGAAAAGGACGCUUUGGGAUGAAAAUCGAUAUUAUUCGUUGAGCUCUGUAAGUUUCAUUGUAGUUUUGAAGACGGACGAGAAGCGAGCGUUUCGUCUUUCUUCAACAACGGUUCAUUUCGCGUGCGCUGCUCUGACAGCCGCGCGCGCCGAGCUGCCUUGGACUCCUCGAGCCUUUCCUCUUUUUUUUUUUCUUUGCUCCAACAAUACAAAAAAAAAAAAUCGAUUAAUUUUUAAAGUACUAACAGUGUUUUGAAAGGAGGAAACUCGCCUUUUUUUUUCUUUCUUAAGACUUCCGCUCAUCAAAGCGGUUAGAAAGUAAAGUAGAACCGACGGACGUUGAGAACAUGGAGCUCUGAGUGCGCUUUUCUUGUUUUUAUUUCCUUUUGCUCGGAGCAACAUAAAGGUUGAAGUUGAAAAUCCGAACAAGUGGGAGUUUGUUUUGUCGGAGGAAAGUGGAAGAAAACAACACAACAAGCGGCUACAGACGGAGGUCGUAAACUAGCAGAGGAGGAUCCCCCCCCCCAGCAUCGGGACGCACAGCACUGUGUUGGGUCCUGAACAACUCUGAUGCUUUGACGUAAGACUCCCCUUGCUCACACCUGCCAACACAGAUUUUGAGCCACAGAAAGGAACAGCGAUAUUUGGCAGCAGACCAGCGCCGUUCAACUGCCAGACCAACUCUACAAGUUGGU